GUUGACCUCGGAUCAGGUAGGAAUACCCGCUGAACUUAAGCAUAUCAAUAAGCGGAGGAAAAGAAACCAACAGGGAUUGCCCCAGUAACGGCGAGUGAAGCGGCAACAGCUCAAAUUUGAAAUCUGGCCCCCGGGUCCGAGUUGUAAUUUGUAGAGGAUGCUUUUGGCGAGGUGCCUUCCGAGUUCCCUGGAACGGGACGCCAUAGAGGGUGAGAGCCCCGUCUGGUCGGACACCGAGCCUCUGUAAAGCUCCUUCGACGAGUCGAGUAGUUUGGGAAUGCUGCUCAAAAUGGGGAGGUAUAUGUCUUCUAAAGCUAAAUAUUGGCCAGAGACCGAUAGCGCACAAGUAGAGUGAUCGAAAGAUGAAAAGCACUUUGAAAAGAGGGUUAAAAAGUACGUGAAAUUGUUGAAAGGGAAGCGCCUAUGACCAGACUUGGGCCCGGUGAAUCACCCAGCGUUCUCGCUGGUGCACUUCGCCGGGCACAGGCCAGCAUCAGUUUGGCGCGGGGGAGAAAGGCUUCGGGAAUGUGGCUCCCCCGGGAGUGUUAUAGCCCGUUGCGCAAUACCCUGCGCUGGACUGAGGUACGCGCAUUCGCAAGGAUGCUGGCGUAAUGGUCAUCAGCGACCCGUCUUGAAACACGGACCAAGGAGUCGUCUUCGUAUGCGAGUGUUCGGGUGUCAAACCCCUACGCGUAAUGAAAGUGAACGCAGGUGAGAGCUUCGGCGCAUCAUCGACCGAUCCUGAUGUUCUCGGAUGGAUUUGAGUAAGAGCAUACGGGGCCGGACCCGAAAGAAGGUGAACUAUGCCUGUAUAGGGUGAAGCCAGAGGAAACUCUGGUGGAGGCUCGCAGCGGUUCUGACGUGCGAAUC
rnacentral:rRNA from 1 species